CUGGGAUGCCUGGAUUCAGAAAAGUUAAGCGAUUUGCCCAACAUCACACAGCAUGGCUAGGAAGACUCCGAACACUGCAUCGGUCUGAGCAGCCUAUCUUCCCACCAGCCAUGCACAGAAGAGGAAGACACAAAAGAGGAAGGAUUCCCCUUGAACAGAUGGAACAUGGAAGCCCAGAGCAGCUCAGUGGUUUCCGAUGCUGCAACAGGCUCAGGUCUGAGAUCCCAGGACUCAGGAGCCCUGGUUUCUACCGCCUUAUCUGGCCAAGGGGACGGCUCACCUUGUCGAUGAACGAGGCGAACUUGUUGUUGAGGGUCUUGAUCUGCUCGCGCUCCUCCGUCCGCACCUUCUGGAUCUCGGGGUCGAUGAACGAGGCGAACUUGUUGUUGAGGGUCUUGAUCUGCUCGCGCUCCUGGGUGCGCACCCUCUGGAUCUCGGGGUCGAUCUCCACGUUGAGAGGCGUCAGCAGGCUCUGGUUGACCGUGACCUCCUGGAUGCCUCCAGGAGGACAGGCCGGCCCGAAUGCCUGCCGCCCAGCCCCCAGACCCGCAUAGGCCCCACUGCCAAAGCCGAAGCCUCCCAGGGCGCGCCCCGAGGAGGCCCCUCCAGCCACGCUGACCGAGAUGUUCUUGCUGCCCCCCAAGUUAUAGAGGCUUCGGCUGCCAAAGCCACCCUUGCGGGGGCCACAGCAGGUCCCCCCACCACUGCUACUGCUCCGGGACAUCGUCACCGAGCUGAAGCUGGUGCGGGCCCGGGACCCGCCUCCUCCACCUGCCGAGUUGGAGCUAAAGCCCCCUUUGGUGGAGUACGUCUGCCCAGACACAGAGGACCUCAUGGCCGUCAGAGGGGCCGGAGCGCAGGCUGAGAGAGCGGAGAGCGAACGCGGUGAGCUGCUGCGCCACCGAUGGGCUUUUUAUCUUUUCCCAGUUGGGCUGGCUCCUGGGCUCACAGACACUCCUGCCCCAUUGCCCCAGGAAGAGAGGGAGGGGCCCCGUGGGCCAGGGGAGUCCCCUCUCCCCCAGCGGGAGGGAGGGGCUGCUCCCAGUUAUCACCUGUGCUCCAGAGCGGGGGCUGAGCCGAGGCUGUGUGGGGCAGGAUGCCACCUUCUCC
rnacentral:lncRNA from 1 species